rnacentral:lncRNA from 1 species
AUAGAAAAGCUAUAAGUCCAGCUGGCUUCACCUCUCAUAAUGAGCAGUGAGGACGAUCAGAGGUCACUCUCAUUCUCGGUUUUGCUGGGUUUUGGCCAGCUUCUUUACUACAUGUUGUUUUAUCAGCAAGGUCUUUGUGACCUGUGUCUUGUACUGACCUCCUAUUUCAUCCUGUGGCUUAGAAUGCCUUAACCUCCUGGGAAUGGAGUCCAAUAGGUGUCAGGUUCAUUUUACCCAGGCUUUAUUCAAGAUGGGGUCACUCUGGUUUGAACGCCUCUGACGUUACCCAGGCUGGUUUCCAACUCCUGCGCCCAAGUGAUCUUCUCGCCUAGGCCUCCCAAAGAGCCGGCAAAGUCAUGUGCUUUUUGAAAGCUGUGACAGCCAACACAAAUGCAGCCAAGAGACCACCAUUGUACUAUGCAUGUAUGCCACAGUUUGCCUCCAAUCAUGUUGCUCACCAAAAGGGCAGCAUGAUAUCAAGUAACUUUAGAUCAUACAUACCCAGACCAAGUACAUCAUGGGUAUAAUAAGGCUCAUUGGUUUUUCCUAUGGAUAUUGAGUUGGCUUUUGCAGAAAGCAAGCUACAUAUUUAUUAUUCAGCUUGUAUUAUAAUUUAGGAAAACCUCUUACCUCAGCCUCUAUAUUGCUGGUGGACCUAUAUACAUUUGUACAAUCUUUUGCAAAAUUAAUUUGGUAACAGGCGUUAAGAGUCUGAAAAUUGUCAAUAUCCUUUGUCUAAGUUAUUCCACUUCUAAAAAAAUCUAUCUUAAAGAAAUCAGAAUCAGGAAACCCUUGUAUACAAGAUUUUCAGUAGCAUUUAUUUUUACCAGCAACA